CUAAAUGAAGUUCGAAAAUCGCCGUUAGGGGCGCUUGUGAUGAUUGGGAUACUAGAAAUACACAGCUUCUUAUGGCAAGAAUAACUAUUUUGUUAUAAAUUAUAGAGCCAAGUUAAUAUUUGGGCAUAUUUUUACCAGAGUUAGCUUUUAGAAACGUGGUUUUUCUAAUUGAGCAAUGUGCGUGGCUAAAAUUGUGAAUACAAAACCUUAAAUUUGAGUUUGAAAAUGCAUACACGACCGAAGAAACAUAUAAGCUGCUAAAAUAAAUCUUCCCUAGAACUGUUGUACAAAAAAGAUAGAAGUUCCAGCAACAAAUUUAUCACCAGUUCAACCUUUGAUUUGAUGUAAACAGUAAUUGUUUCUUGAUGAGAAAUGCGAAUGAAAUAGUUUAUGGUGUGAUUGUGUUAGUGUUUUAUUAAUAGUUUUGUUGAUGCAGUUUAAAGGUUCAUAGUUUUUCAUUAAAACAUUUGAAAUUGACAUGUUUACAUGCAGUUUAGUGUGAUACCAUUUUAAUAAACAUUAAAAUCUUUCGAACUAGUAGUGGUUUUAUGGCGAUUGACAGAUUGAAUAACGAAAAUUAAGAGUAUUUUAUCAGGAAUAACUUAAUCAUAAAUGGAAACUGAAGACGAACGUUACCAUUGCACCCUUUGAUCGGUGUUAUCUAUUCCAUAACUUUUUAUAGCUGAAACUAGAGAGUAGGUAUAUUGAGCUGAAACGUUUCCUGUGUUCAAUAGCGUUUUUUCUAGCGUUGAAUUGUAAGUUUUAAUGUCAUUAGCAAAGUUUUGCAAAUUGUCACUGUUUCGUAGACAAUUAAAUUCAAGAUAUAUUAUAUUCAAUGUCACCUAAUAAUUGUAAAGGUUUUUCUAUUGAUAUUCACUUUAUUAAUAUAAGGUAGGUUUGUAAAUAAAAUAUUAAUGAAUAAAUAAUGUACUCAGUUUAUUUCAAAAGCACAAAAAUACAGAGUUGUGAAUAUGUAUAUACGCUGACUUAUUUCAUCAUAUAAAUAUUUAUUUAGCAAUAUUAAUACAUUACAACUUUUGUUUCUAUUAACUAAUUCCACUAAAUUUAAUAAAUAAAAUAUACAAUAUAUAAAUUUAAUAUACAAUUUAGCACUUAGAUAUUAAAUAUCUAUAUGUACUAUGCCAAAAAAUAAAACAGGAACAUCAUAUUAUAUCAAGAACACAAAAAAUUACAAUUUAAAAAAAAUGCAUUCUAAAAAAAUACCUAGCUACAAUAUACCUACAUAUUAAUUUAAAGAGCUUAUUCAUAUUCAUAAAAACUAUUCUAAAUGGUUUAUAUACACAAUCAAAAGUAUCAACCACAAUACAAUAAUUUUCAAAUUAUUUCUUAUUAUUCCUCAA